CCGGCGCUCGCGGCCGCGUCCCUGGCAGCCCGGGCGGCCGUUUCCUGCCUGCGUCGCUGGGCGGGCGGCCGGCCCAUCUGGCGGCCCCCAAGAGGCGGCGCGGGGAGGCGGCCCAGACUCGCUGGAGCCAGGCGCCGGCCCGCGCCCCCCGCCCGCCCGGAGAGCCCAGGUGUGGCCGCGGCGGGGGUGGGGGUGGUGCCUUCCUUCCCGCUCGGCCCUUCCUGACGCACCCGCGGGCAGGAUGCGUCCGCCUCCCAAGACCCGGCCUGGAAUCGCGGAGGGAAUCCCAGCGGUGGGAAAGCCGGCUGGGGUCGGAGCACCCCUCCCCAGUAUCCACUCCUUGUGAGACCCCGGGCCCAGAGAAAUUGGGCGGCCGUCUCAAAGGUGCCCAGAACAGCAGUCAGUGACGCAGGCCCAGGGUCUAGAGGGGAGCUGCACAGUCCUUAGGAACUUUGGAAUUCAGCGUGGAUUGCUUGAGGUCAUAUCCACCUCCGUGGGCAACCCACCUCAAUUGUCUCAUUUGCACAAGGGGACUAAUACUAACUAGCACCUGGAGCCUAAGACGGAAAUGAAGUGAAAUCCCGUAUGGAGGUGUGAUUAUUAUAGAGGUGAACCCCAUGAGGCAGGAAUGUGCCCACUUACAGAUGAACAGAGCGAGGCUCCGGGAGAGGAAAGUGAUCUGCCCAGGGUUACAUGUAAGAAUAUUUACUCCUGGACGACAAGGGCUAUACUGUCCGCUCUCUCGCAUGAGCCCCACGCUACCGCAUCCGAAAGUUGGACAUUACUGCCCAGCCCUCCGUGACCACCAAUGCUCCCAAGGGCCUGAAGACCCCGUGAGACGUGACCCCACUUCCUUCUCCAAUGUCACCUGACCUGCCCUACUCUGGCCACAAUGACCUGAUUUUGGUCCUCCUUGUCCCCUCCAGCCACAGGACCUCUGCACCGGCAGUUUCUGCUGCCUGCGAUGCUCUUCCCACCUUUGCCUAGACUCCUCCUCCUUGGACCUCUGCUCAGUUUUAUUUCUCCGGGGAAGCCUUCCCUGGCACGGAGCCAGGCCCCCUUGUUAUCCACUCUCAAGGCCCCCUGCCAUGCCCUGCAGCAUUCUCUGGCAAUGUGGAGUGGAACACUGCUGUAUCAUUGCAGACUUCAGCCUCUCUGCUGCUAGGCUGUGAACUUCAUGAGGGCUGGGUCCACGGCCGUCUUGGUCACUGCUCUAUUCCUGGCAUUUCGGGAGGAGGCCUGGUAAAUCCUAAGCAAGCGGCUUCUUCAUGGGUGCUCGCAAAGUUAAGAGGGUGUCUUGUAGAUGUAAGGUGAGACCUCACUCCGAAGGGGGAAGCCAGCCCCUGCUCAGAGGACAGGACUCCAGAGCCCCCCAAGCCUGACCUUCAGACCAUUUCUUGGCACCUGCCAUGCAUGGGUCAUGAACCACACCGCUUCCUAUGUGUUACUCUUGGAGCUAGUAACACAAUCUGAGUUCUACAGACGAUGCUACUGAGGUUUAGAUAAGGAGAAAUGACUCACCCGAGGCCACACGAGGUGUGUAAAUGGCUGAGCUUUUCUCACUAUAUUAGGUGUUUGCUGAGUCAGGACUUGGGUGAGUUAGGCUUUAGGCCUUUUGGAGAGCGAUAGAAAUGACAAUGACUAAAGUCCACACCAAAACCUGUGAAAGGCAGCCACAGCAGUACUCAGAGGAAAAUCUGUAACUCUAGGUGCAUUUAUUAGAAAACACCAAAGACUUGAAAUAAUUUUAACUUUCAAGUCAAGAAGCCGGAAAAAGAAUAAAACACCAAAAAGUAGAAAGCAAAUAGUGAAGGCAAAAAGCAGAAAUUUGUGAAACAGAAAAUGAAAUACAAACUUAAUAGAAUUUAAUUCCUGAAAAGAUCUCCUUAUACUUUACAGAUGAAGAGACUGAGGCUCAGAGGAGGGAAAGGACUGCCCUAAUCACACAGCUGGCCAGGAUGUGGCUCCAGGGGCCUCUGUCUCUAAGUCACCAGCACCAGGCUGGGCAAAGUACAGGGCUUCCCGGGGGAGGGUGGAAGAAGUGUGGCUCCCUCCAGGCCUGCCUCACUGGAGGGCCGGGGGCCACUGAGGCUCCUCUGAGAGGUGGCGACUUUGCUAUCAUCACAGGAAUACACGCCUACUAUUUUCCUUCCUCUCAAGGCACCGAGGAACCUCUCCAAAAUUGGCGCUGAGGAGAGGCUAGGAUGUAUAGCUUGGGAUGGUGAACUGGGUGCUGGGUGUCAGGCUCCCGGCUUUCCAUCUGGCCUCUGCUCUACUGUGUGACCACAGCUAAACCGCUUCCCUCUCUCUGUACAAUGAGGACACUUGAUCAUCUUGGAGGGGGCUUUUCUAGGAGGCUGCCAGACCCCUGGCUUGGAGUGGGUUUUUGGUAGAGGCUUCAUGGGUUGAAAACCACUUAAGCAGCACCACUGGGACUUCCACCUAGGGAAUUACUGGCACUGGGAUUGCCUGUGUCAUGGAGAGGAAGAGGGUCUUCAGGAAACAGGCUGCCCUUGUGUCCUGGAUCCCCUUCCCAAGAUUUCCGGGGGGAGGCCCACGUGGAUGAUGGGGCAAUGGCUGGGCUGCUGCUUAGGGGGCAGCACAGGCCUAGGGCCAGGGGUCAGGAGUCCGGGGCUCCAGCCAGGGCCCAGCUUAACUUGCUGUGUAACCCAGGAAGUCUCCUUUUCUCUUUGGCCUACAGUGUCCCUGCCACAGAGGACCACCUCUCCAGCCAGUAUGGGAGCUCCCAACCGGAUCCUCGAGUCUAGCCCAGGCAGCAGGCUAGGCUGCCACCUGGUGGCCUCUGGGGGAAUGGCUCCGGGCUUGGAAUCUGGACUCUGAGUUCGUCCCCCAAGCCAGGCCCAGUCAUUCUCAGAGACCUUCUUGUCAGGAAAUCAAGCAGGACUUCUGCAACCUGCCCACAGUCCUGCCCUGAACAGAUGGGGGAGUCUGGACUUCCUCCCCCGAGUCCCCUUGCCCUUCAUUUCACCCAGCCUCUCCCACUGCCAGGGGUUCAGAGCCUGGGCUUGGUUUCCACAUGUCACAAUCUGGGAUCCUUGCUCUAGCACAUGCUUGCCAUGUGGCACCUGACUUCCAAUUCCCUUACCUGCUCGUGAGGACCCUCGGGAAGAACUGAAUGGAGACUGGUGUAUGGGAAGGGACCUGCUUUCCAGUACUCAGCAAGCCCAUCUGCUGGCGGUCUCCUCCUUGUCGCCCCCUCCUCAGGUCUCAAUAAAAGCUCUCAGCCCUCA